GGAGGUUGAUCCCAUUCACUGCCAGUGUCAUCUGUAUAAUGGACCCCCCAGUGAAGGAUCCAUUUCCCUGGCAAACUACAUCCCACAGUGAGGUUCCAAUUCUCUUCAUCCUUCCCCUUAUCCAAUCUGAUGGAUAUCUUUCCUUCAGCCCUUUCCGGUCGUUUCAACGAGAAAGUCUCCUUAAAAACUACGUCCGACUGUUCCGACGUUUCAAUGACGGCAGCAUCGGUGGAGCUAACUCUGACAGGUACCGUCCGGCUACGCCGAUAAUCGCAGAAUCUCAAAGUUGCGGUACCGGAGAGUGGCCUCCGAGAGAAAUUUAGAGAAAAAUGAGAGGUUUUCUUCUGAUUUGGAUAUAGCUUUGGGCUUCGCCGGAGAUAAUGGCCGACGAGAGGCUCCAUAGUAACUGUCGACAUUUUUUCCG
rnacentral:misc_RNA from 1 species